rnacentral:rRNA from 1 species
UACGUAGGGACAACGCGUUGUCCGGAAUCAUUGGGCGUAAAGAGCGUGUAGGCGGCUUGUUAAGUCUUGUGUGAAAUCUCGGGCUCAACCCCGAGCGGUCAUGAGAAACUGGCAGGCUAGAGUGCGGGAGAGGGAGAGUGGAAUUCCUGGUGUAGCGGUGAAAUGACGCAGAUAUCAGGAAGAACACCCGUGGCGAAGGCGGCUCUCUGGAACGCAACUGACGCUGAGACGCGAAAGCGGUGGGGAGCAAACAGGG